rnacentral:rRNA from 1 species
UACAGAGGUCCCAAGCGUUGUUCGGAUUCAUUGGGCGUAAAGGGUGCGUAGGUGGCGCCGUAAGUGGGGUGUGAAAUUUCGGAGCUUAACUCCGAAACUGCAUUUGAUACUGCCUUGCUCGAGUACUGGAGAGGAGAUUGGAAUUUACGGUGUAGCAGUGAAAUGCGUAGAUAUCGUAAGGAAGACCAGUGGCGAAGGCGAAUCUCUGGACAGUUACUGACACUGAGGCACGAAGGCCAGGGGAGCAAACGGG